rnacentral:rRNA from 1 species
UACCAGCACCCCGAGUGGUCGGGACGAUUAUUGGGCCUAAAGCAUCCGUAGUCGGUUUUACAAGUCCUCCGUUAAAUCCAGCUGCUUAACAGAUGGGCUGCGGAGGAUACUAUAAGACUAGGAGGCAGGAGAGGCAAGCGGUACUCAGUGGGUAGGGGUAAAAUCCGUUGAUCCAUUGAAGACCACCAGUGGCGAAGGCGGCUUGCCAGAAUGCGCUCGACGGUGAGGGAUGAAAGCUGGGGGAGCAAACCGG